AUUGAACGCUGGCGGCAUGCUUUACACAUGCCAGUCGAACGGCAGCGCGGGCUUCGGCCUGGCGGCGAGUGGCGAACGGGUGAGUAAUGCAUCGGAACGUGCCCAGUAGUGGGGGAUAGCCCGGCGAAAGCCGGAUUAAUACCGCAUACGACCUGAGGGUGAAAGCGGGGGACCGAAAGGCCUCGCGCUAUUGGAGCGGCCGAUGUCGGAUUAGCUAGUUGGUGGGGUAAAGGCUUACCAAGGCGACGAUCCGUAGCUGGUCUGAGAGGACGACCAGCCACACUGGCACUGAGACACGGCCCAGACUCCUACGGGAGGCAGCAGUGGGGAAUUUUGGACAAUGGGGGCAACCCUGAUCCAGCCAUGCCGCGUGCGGGAAGAAGGCCUUCGGGUUGUAAACCGCUUUUGUUCGGGAAGAAAUCCUCUGGGCUAAUACCCCGGGGGGAUGACGGUACCGGAAGAAUAAGCACCGGCUAACUACGUG
rnacentral:rRNA from 1 species